AGCCAGCCCUGGAAGAGCCUGACCCAUGGGCACUCAGCAACUAUUAUUGAGUCAACCAGCUGCAAAGGCUCAAGGGAAGGGGUUUGCAUUUGCCCUUCUCAUUCCUCUCAGAAACUCAAGCACCUGCUACCUCGUUGUAAAAGGGAAGAAAAAGACUGAGCUACGCAAGAUACGUAGGCAGAAGAUACUUAAAAAGGGGUUAUAACUCCCAUGCGUUCAUUUCUUAGACACUGGAACCACACAGGGACUAAAACAGGAGACCCAGGAGUGGCUACAGGAUGGGAAAGAAGCAGAUGGAAGAUGCAGGACUUCCUACAUCUUUGUGAUUCUACAAGAAAGUGUGUUUACAGGAGCUGGAUAAAUGUAGCAGGCUUUGGCCACAGGGGCACUUGGAUCUGUACCCCACAUGGCUAACAGAGCCAAAGCCCUGUCACAGCACUGUCGUGGUUGCAGCCAUGAGGCCAGAUCACAGCCAGCCCAAGGCAGUGUUGAGGAUGAGGAGAAGGUGGAAUCUGGCACCCCUUGGCGGGGCAGCUGCAGGUGGCCGUCGUAGUGAAUCAAACCCAGCAGGCACCACUCAACAAAACUACCUUCACCUCCCAGAUAGCCACAGCUCACUGGGCCACCGUCAUGCUUCAGCAUCACCUCAGCAAACAAGCCAGUUCUCACUCCAGUUUUUAACAUUUUAAGAAUGUGAAACUAGAGCAAAUUUCAAAUAACAAGGCAUAGUUGUGGUUUUCCUCACAGGGAUGUUUCUACUCCUCCUAUUGGCACCUGCUUUAAACAUUAAGUGGAACAUGUGAUCUCAAAACCACUGAACGACUUUGAUGUUCGGGAUGAAAAAGAAAAGAGUGAAGAUGAUGACUGUGAAAAUUCCUGCUCAUUGAUGCUACCAGCUGGGACUGGUGGAUGGAGAGUUAAUCAAAACAACUACGUAAAUCUACAGGUUCUCAUCCUUCCUCUGCAAAAGGUUGUCUAUGCACCAGAACAAGCCAU
rnacentral:lncRNA from 1 species